rnacentral:rRNA from 1 species
AGAGUUUGAUCAUGGCUCAGAUUGAACGCUGGCGGCAGGCCUAACACAUGCAAGUCGAACGGUAACAUUUCUAGCUUGCUAGAAGAUGACGAGUGGCGGACGGGUGAGUAAUACUUAGGAAUAUGCCUUUGUGUGGGGGAUAACCAUUGGAAACGAUGGCUAAUACCGCAUAACGUCUUCGGACCAAAGGGGGCCUUGGCUCCCGCGCAAAGAGUAGCCUAAGCGAGAUUAGCUUGUUGGUGAGGUAAAGGCUCACCAAGGCGACGAUCUCUAGCUGUUCUGAGAGGAAGAUCAGCCACACUGGAACUGAGACACGGUCCAGACUCCUACGGGAGGCAGCAGUGGGGAAUAUUGCACAAUGGGGGAAACCCUGAUGCAGCCAUGCCGCGUGUGUGAAGAAGGCCUUCGGGUUGUAAAGCACUUUCAGUUGUGAGGAAAGGUUAACGGUUAAUACCCGUUAGCUGUGACGUUAGCAACAGAAGAAGGACCGGCUAACUCCGUGCCAGCAGCCGCGGUAAUACGGAGGGUCCGAGCGUUAAUCGGAAUUACUGGGCGUAAAGCGCACGCAGGCGGUUUGUUAAGCUAGAUGUGAAAGCCCUGGGCUCAACCUGGGAAUUGCAUUUAGAACUGGCAGGCUAGAGUUUUGGAGAGGGGAGUGGAAUUCCAGGUGUAGCGGUGAAAUGCGUAGAUAUCUGGAGGAACAUCAGUGGCGAAGGCGACUCCCUGGUCAGUAACUGACGCUCAUGUGCGAAAGUGUGGGUAGCGAACAGGAUUAGAUACCCUGGUAGUCCACACCGUAAACGCUGUCUACUAGCUGUUUGUGGAUUUAAUCCGUGAGUAGCGAAGCUAACGCGAUAAGUAGACCGCCU